UCUACGGCUCUGCCAAAUAGACUAUAGACUAUCUUAAUAAUAGUGCCUACAACCUAAUAGCCUUUUGUUGAGAUAAGUCUUCGUGCUCUCCCAGAAAAAGGCUUUUGUUGAGAUAGCCUUUUGUUGAAUAAAUUAAUAAUAGCACUCUGCCAAAAAGAAGCUCUGCUUCGUGCUUUCCAGUUUUGAGUCAAUUGUUUCGUGUUGCCAGAAAAAGGCUCCGCCUGCAACCCGCCUGCAACCCCCAUCUCCGGCGAAAUCGUCGCAGGCGUGUCGCCUCCGACCCUCGCCUCUCACCCCCUUUCUACUUCCCUCUCUUUCUUUCAAUUCUCUCUCACGCCAACGCCCUCUCUCUCCCUCUGUGUCUCCUCGUCGUAGCACAUGCAGCGGCUACCGCCUCCGCCUCCGCCUCCGCCACUUCUCCGUCCCGGCGUCGGCUCCUUCUCCUCCUGCCUUGACUCAAAACACCAAAACCCCCAAAAUUUCUCCAAUUUCAGAAAACCCUUCUCCCUAAAUCAAAUUCCUAAUUUUCUCCUUCUACCCUCGCCGUGAACAGCACCGCCCCUCUUCUCUCGGCGAAUGGCGAGAAUCGCCGGCGCCUUCUCCUCUCCUUCCCACGGCCGCCGCCUUCUUCCAUCUUCUCUCUUUUCCCACCUGCCAACUCCCGCUCCCUUCCCCCAAUUUCUUGGCCAACUACCCAUGGCAGAAUCACAGCUGGGCCGACCUCCCUUCCCCCAAACAGAUGUAAAUGUGUCGGCGGUUCUGCACGAUAUGAUCUUUCGUGUAGUUAACCGGUUAAUUCGGUUAACCGAUUAAUUGGUCCGGUACCGGACCAAUUAAUCGGUUAACCGAACUGAAAACCGGUUCGGUUUCGGUUAUCAUUUUCAGUCUUAAUCGGUUCCGGUUAACCGGUAAAUCGGUUCGGUUUUAACCGAACCGACCGGUUUACCAGCCCUAAGUGUAAUUGUGACUAUAAUUAAAUAAUUUCUCAAAAUUUAAGUUAAUUGAAAAAUAAAUCAACUUCAAUUAAAUUAAAGUUGAUGCCAUAAAUUGUAACUAACCCUAUUUAUUAUUAUUAUUAUUAUUAUUUGUAAGCACUUCUCGUGGUCACAGCAUAUAUUUCAAUUAUGUAGGCAUAUUUUAUAUCUAGAAAUUAUUCUUGUGAUAGUCAAGUUUUGAAAAAGUUAUAGUCGACAACCGUCGUGAAGAGUGCAUUCUUGAAAUGAUGGUCUUCUAAUUCGGAUGAGUAAAGUGGAGAGUGGGAACCUUAGAUCAAAGAUAAAUUGGAGAAUUGUGAAAACAUGGAGUGGAAGUACAGUUCGUUAGGAGUUCAUGAGCAAAAAACGACAUUCAAAUCAGAGCUCAGGCGAGGGAGAACGAAGCCGAACAAGUCGACUGUGCAAUGAGACUCGCUAACGCGGCCGUGGAAAGAGGAAGACCCGCGGUCCCCACCCGCACCCGCGGGUAGGACGACGGCCAAUGUGCCAUUUGAUCGGUCCGAGCCGUGGCCACGGGCCCGACAAAUAGGUCUCCCCAUUCUUUCCCCACGGUCCUAUAUCACAACCACUACCGCGCCUGUGGGAAAAAGACGGAAUUGGCGAGAUUGUGGAUCGCAGACGAGAUUUUCAGCCUCUAUACCUCUUUAACCUUCAAUUUGAGAAAAAAAUUAAAAUAACACGUCAUUUUCUCAACAUUCAACUCACUCAACGCUGCACUCCAAACAACUAGCCUUCAUUAUUACAUCCAAUUUUUCAAUUUAUUAGUAUUAUUAUUCAA